CGUUAAGCGAGGAGUUACUGUACUACCUUCACGUCUGAUCUCCCCACUGAGAGCGGCCGUGCUGUGGAAGGACAAGUCCUGUCUGUCCCCAGCCUGGCUGGAAUAGCAGACGAUGCAGCUGGGUCAUCAUUGUCAGACAGAGAGAAAUGCAGCUUGUAAUAGCUCGAUAAGGUUAUUUGCGGUUGGUUAAUACCAAUGCAGACAAUACUACGGGGACCUUCUGAAAAGAAAAUGAAACUCAAGCAGCUGUGGAAGGCAGGGAGGAUUAUCUGCAGGAUUUGCCCACAGCAGAACCCAACCUACUUCUGUGAUAGGACACAUAAGAUCUUACAAG